GAUGAACGCUGGCGGCGUGCCUAAUACAUGCAAGUCGAGCGAACAGACGAGGAGCUUGCUCCUCUGACGUUAGCGGCGGACGGGUGAGUAACACGUGGAUAACCUACCUAUAAGACUGGGAUAACUUCGGGAAACCGGAGCUAAUACCGGAUAACAUGUUGAACCGCAUGGUUCAACAGUGAAAGACGGUCUUGCUGUCACUUAUAGAUGGAUCCGCGCCGCAUUAGCUAGUUGGUAAGGUAACGGCUUACCAAGGCAACGAUGCGUAGCCGACCUGAGAGGGUGAUCGGCCACACUGGAACUGAGACACGGUCCAGACUCCUACGGGAGGCAGCAGUAGGGAAUCUUCCGCAAUGGGCGAAAGCCUGACGGAGCAACGCCGCGUGAGUGAAGAAGGUCUUCGGAUCGUAAAACUCUGUUAUUAGGGAAGAACAAAUGUGUAUGUAACUAUGCACAUCUUGACGGUACCUAAUCAGAAAGCCACGGCUAACUACGUG
rnacentral:rRNA from 1 species